UCACACUGUCUCCAGCAAGUUGAGGUUUGC
rnacentral:piRNA from 2 species